GGAUUAGAUACCCUGGUAGUCCAUGCUGUAAACGAUGAGAACUAGCUGUUGGAUUCCUUAGAGAAUUUAGUGGCGCAGCUAACGCGAUAAGUUCUCCGCCUGGGGAGUACGGCCGCAAGGCUAAAACUCAAAUGAAUUGACGGGAGCCCGCACAAGCGGUGGAGCAUGUGGUUUAAUUCGAUGCAACGCGAAGAACCUUACCUACACUUGACAUCCCUGGAAUUUGCGAGAGAUCGCAAAGUGCCUUCGGGAACCAGGUGACAGGUGCUGCAUGGCUGUCGUCAGCUCGUGCCG
rnacentral:rRNA from 1 species